CGCAGAGGGGGGCGGUGCACUGCGCAUGCGGGAAGAUGGCGGGUCGGGGUACUUGAGAGUCGUUGGUCUACCUCCUGCUUUCCCGUCUUCGUCGGGAGCUCCCGGGCACGUGAGGCAGUGCUGCGUUUGCUGGCGGGUGGGACGGCCUAGCCGGGCGGCGCCUCGGAGGACGCCGCGGACCCGUUAGUUUCUGGGCCCUUGGAAAUCGGCGCGUGGGGGACGGUGAUCGAGCUGGGCGCGAGAGGGCGGGAGAGCUCGCAGGGUGCGAGGGGAGCUGGACGCCCGGCCGGGCAGCAUGAGUCAGCAGCGGCCGGCGAGGAAGUUGCCCAGUCUCCUCCUGGACCCCGCGGAGGAGACGGUUCGCCGUCGGUGCCGAGACCCCAUCAACGUGGAGGGCCUGCUGCCAUCAAAAAUAAGGAUUAAUUUAGAAGAUAAUGUACAAUAUGUGUCCAUGAGAAAAGCUCUAAAAGUGAAGAGACCUCGUUUUGAUGUAUCACUGGUUUAUUUAACUCGAAAAUUUAUGGAUCUUGUCAGAUCUGCUCCUGGGGGUAUUCUUGACUUAAACAAGGUUGCAACGAAACUGGGAGUCCGAAAGCGAAGAGUGUAUGACAUCACCAAUGUCUUAGAUGGAAUCGACCUCGUUGAAAAGAAAUCCAAGAACCAUAUUCGAUGGAUAGGAUCUGAUCUUAGCAAUUUUGGAGCAGUUCCCCAACAAAAGAAGCUGCAAGAGGAACUUUCUGACUUAUCAGCAAUGGAAGAUGCUUUGGAUGAGUUAAUUAAGGAUUGUGCUCAGCAGCUGUUUGAGUUAACAGAUGACAAAGAAAAUGAAAGACUAGCAUACGUGACCUGUCAAGACAUUCAUAGCAUUCAGGCCUUCCAUGAACAGAUCGUCAUUGCUGUUAAAGCUCCAGCAGAAACCAGAUUGGAUGUUCCAGCUCCCAGAGAAGUAGGACUCUAUCACAGUGCACAUAAGGAGCACCAACGGACCUAUCGAUGUCUAUUUGUGUGAAGUGGAGCAGGGUCAGACUGGUAGCAAAAGGUCUGAAGGAGUCAGGACCUCUUCAUCUGAGAGCACUCAUGCAGAAGGCCCUGAGGAAGGGCAGGCUUUCAGUCAAACAGCAGCUCCACUCAGCCAAAGAGCCUGCCCAUGACCCGGCCGGGAGAGUUCCCCUUCUGCACAUCUUGGACAAGGGAAAGGGCUAGACCUGCUUGACCCAGGCAGUCACAUACCCACUCAACUCAGCGAACAGCCCACUCCACAAGAGUCAGUCCUCAGUUACACAUUUCUAAGGACGUUGCCUCUGGACCCACCCGGCCAGAGCAGUGACUCCAUCUCACCUCGGAGCCCAGCUUGCAGCUCUGCCCAACAGCAGAUCACAAAUAGUGGAACUGCCUGAGCAGGGGGCCAGCAUCCUGUGACCGGCCUGGGCAGAAGCCAUCACAGUACCCAGCCAGCAGGUCCACCGACAUCCGAACAAAGACCCAGCCAACUGGAAAACCGGCCUGGGCAGAAGCCAUCACAGUGCCCAGCCAGCAGGUCCACCGACAUCCGAACAAAGACACAGCCAACUGGAGAACUCAACAAGCACUGCGGGCCAGGGUGGUCUUCAGCUGGCCCUUGCAGAGCCACAGGCUGGACCAAUAGGAAGCUUUCACUGACAGAGGAUACCUGUAAUGACCAGAAGAGGGGGCUGUUGCCCGCACGCAGACAACAGCACAAAGACACAAGGAUUACAAAGACGGGGAAUCAUGAGGGCUCCGAAAGAAACUAGUAAAGCCUUAGUAAGGGAAGGCUUCCUCCCUUCACGGACGGGUGCUUUCAGGUACAAGUUUGAGUUCCGGUUUAUUCGUGAGAGACUGAAAAAAUUAGCCUUAUGCCAUUAACCUGAGAAUACGUGUUCUUGACCAGGCAUCUUCAGGGUUUUCUGAAGUAGUCGGAUUGUGUAUUCUUUUACAUAUUUGCCUAUCAAACCUUCACUUAGGUGAAUUUCUCUCUCGUGUUCUUUUUCAGAAGAAAAUCCUCAGCGAAGUGAAGAAUUGCUUGAAGUAAGCAACUGAUGGCAUUUGAGAAUUUAUAUAUUACUGAGUUUUUUGGGAACAUCUUUGUGGAGAAUUAUGCGUCAAAUUUGAUUCUCAGAGCAAUAAAUUAUCCAUGAAGUGCUCUCGUUCUCAGUAGUGGCAGCCUGGCCAGUAGUGUCUUUGAGGAGUUCGCCACUUAGAUUACUGAGUAAUUGUGGUUUCCACGUUUGAAAACAACUCCUUUUAUAAUUAUUCACUGCUUUUUGUCAGUGAAGUAGACAGCUUGCCUCCUGAAGUAGUUUCAUCACAGAGUGUCAUGAAAACAGACAGUUGGGCUGAAAUGGACAGUUCUUUGUGGACUCUACCCUUCCCUUCAAGGAGUAUGUCAUAUAUCACAAAAGAAAUUGCCUUACACUGGUUCAUGUUUGCAGUUACUGUUGUACAUUGGCUAGAUGUACACACGAAUUUAAAUGUGAUGUCUUUGUAUAUAUCUGUAUAAUGUUUCGAUUACUUACGAAAUAUGUCUGAGUGACACUUUUCACCCUUGUACAGCCAAAAUAAUGUAUAUAUGGAAAGUGACAGACAAAUUCUCUAAUUUCUUUGGUAUCUAUAACUUAUUAGAAUCCUCUGGAUGAGGGUUAGAAGAGAGUUUUUCCAAACUUCUACAUGUAGAAGUAUCAUAAAUGUGCUACACAUUUAUGUUUGUGGAUUUCAUUAAAGUAUUUUAAUAUGGUUUUCAAUGCUGAAAUUGGAGUCAGAUACUUCUUGGUUUUAAGCUGUCUACCUACUUGCUGUCUCCCAGCAGCCUGGUGGCAUGCCCAGUGUUUUUGGGGGCAGGGAUAGAAAUGCCAUCAGGAAAUAGCUGAAUUCAUUGUGAAAUAUGAAUUCAGUCAUGGUGAUCAUUGGAAACUCUUUUAAGGUUUUUGCAAGUAGAUUUUGUAAUGUUUGUGUAUGCAGCCUUGCUGUUCAGUCAGUCAAAGGGGUUUUACUCACGACAAGUUGUACCUUGCCCUCUCUCCAGCUCUACUCCCACAUUUUCACGUACCUAGCUAUUUCUACCUCAUUGGGUAAGUCAUUUACCACUCUGUGCCUCAGUUUACUCUGUAGUUUACCAUUAGACUGUGAGCUCCUUGAGGGACUUUGUCAUAAUCACUGUUAUAUCCCAGUGCCUCACACCAUGCCUGACCCUUAAGAAGUGCUCAAUAAAUGUUUGAACAAAUAAGUGAGUGGAGUGAGUAAAUUGUAAAAUCAGACUAAUAAUAUUUGGUUUGUCUGUCAUACAAGAUUCCUGUAUCGUUUGAAUUCAGAUUGUGAACUUUGUUUUUAAAGAAAUGAAGCAACUUCAAAUUCAGACUGUUUAAAAAGGUUUAAAAUCGGAAUCCAAAAUCAAAGUAUUAAAAAAUAAUGCUGAGUGUUUAGGAUUCACAUACCCCUGAGCUCCAGUGGCAUUUGCCAGUCCUGUCCCUCUGCUGAGCACCAGCCCCUUCCUGCAGCGGUCCUGCCGGCGUGUUUCUGUGCACCUGGGGAUGGAGUAUGCUCUUCCCUGAGUGGUUAGCCCCCGUGCUUUUCCUCCCUGUUUUAUUGUUUGAAAUUAGCCAAAGAAAAGCUGCAAGGGGCGCUGCUGAUCAUCAUCGGACCGGUUGGUCAUACUGUCUGACAGAAUUGGAAAUACAGGAGGAAGAGCAAGCCUAGGGUAAAAAAUAUGCUUGGGACAUGCUUGAUGAAAGCAAGAGUUUCGGCAGGUCGCCGUGUGUAUGUAGGUGAGGUGCUCAGUGGAAAAGUCUGAGCUGUGUAGUAGGUUGGACAGAUGUCAGUUUAGAUGUGACAGUUUAAACCGCUGGAGUAGGAGAGGUCAUCUGAAGAGUACAGCAGGCCCAAGGGUAUCUAUAUUUAAGAGAAAUACAUGAGAAAAAGUCUCCUGAGAAGGAGUAAUAGGGUGGGUCGGGAGGAGAAGGCAGUGUCCCCAAAACCAACCAAGGUUUGACCAAAGGUGAUACCAUCACUUCUGAGCAGCAGUUCCCUACUUGUGAAAUGUGACAGAUGUUCUCCUUUACAAAUUGUUCUGAAGGUAAAAUGAGAUCAUGUAAACGAAAAUCCUUUGUAAAUUACAGAUGUGUGUUAUAAAUGAAGUAUCUCUUGAGUCACUCCA